AUGCAGCCAUGCCGCGUGUGUGAAGAAGGCCUUCGGGUUGUAAAGCACUUUCAGCGAGGAGGAAGGUGGUGAGCUUAAUACGUUCAUCAAUUGACGUUACUCGCAGAAGAAGCACCGGCUAACUCCGUGCCAGCAGCCGCGGUAAUACGGAGGGUGCAAGCGUUAAUCGGAAUUACUGGGCGUAAAGCGCACGCAGGCGGUUUGUUAAGUCAGAUGUGAAAUCCCCGGGCUCAACCUGGGAACUGCAUUUGAAACUGGCAAGCUAGAGUCUCGUAGAGGGGGGUAGAAUUCCAGGUGUAGCGGUGAAAUGCGUAGAGAUCUGGAGGAAUACCGGUGGCGAAGGCGGCCCCCUGGACGAAGACUGACG
rnacentral:rRNA from 1 species